GCGGCCAUAGCUCAACUGGUUAGAGCGCUGGACUGUGACUCCAGAGGUUACCGGUUCGAUCCCGGUUGGCCGCCCACUU
rnacentral:tRNA from 1 species